UACGUAGGGUGCAAGCGUUUGUCCGGAAUUAUUGGGCGUAAAGAGCUCGUAGGCGGCUUGUCACGUCGACUGUGAAAACCCGGGGCUCAACUCCGGGCCUGCAGUCGAUACGGGCUGGCUUGAGUGCGGUAGGGGAGACUGGAAUUCCUGGUGUAGCGGUGAAAUGCGCAGAUAUCAGGAGGAACACCGGUGGCGAAGGCGGAUCUCUGGGCCUUACCUGACGCUGAGGCGCGAAAGCUAGGGGAGCGAACAGG
rnacentral:rRNA from 1 species